GGAAAAGCCAGCUAACCUACUGUGUCAGGAGGACAUUUAAGCAGCUCUCAGAGAGGCUCACAUGGCCGGGAACUGAGGCUUCCCACCAACAGCACAUGAGGGUGCCAUCAUGGAAGGGAAUUCUCCUGCCCCAGGCAAGUCUUCAGAGGACUGCAGCCCUCACCACAUCCUGGUUGUCCUGACUGCUACCUCAGGAGAGACCCUGAGCCAGGGCAACAAAGCUGAGCCACUCCCAAAUUUCUGACCCAAAGAAACUGAAGCCUGUGUAGUUUUUUCUGAAUGAGAAAGAAAAGUCCCUCUUGCCUCCACAGUAGGGACUCUCCAACCAGUUUCCACAUUAAUGGAGGAAGUAUAAAAAGAAGACAUUCUGUCCUCCAGAGAUGUGCCAAUGGGCAGAAAGGGGAAAGGGGUGUUUGCUUCUUACAGGGUCAAAAUG
rnacentral:lncRNA from 1 species